GUAGAAUUCCAGGUGUAGCGGUGAAAUGCGUAGAGAUCUGGAGGAAUACCGGUGGCGAAGGCGGCCCCCUGGACAAAGACUGACGCUCAGGUGCGAAAGCGUGGGGAGCAAACAGGAUUAGAUACCCUGGUAGUCCACGCUGUAAACGAUGUCGACUUGGAGGUUGUUCCCUUGAGGAGUGGCUUCCGGAGCUAACGCGUUAAGUCGACCGCCUGGGGAGUACGGCCGCAAGGUUAAAACUCAAAUGAAUUGACGGGGGCCCGCACAAGCGGUGGAGCAUGUGGUUUAAUUCGAUGCAACGCGAAGAACCUUACCUACUCUUGACAUCCAGAGAACUUAGCAGAGAUGCUUUGGUGCCUUCGGGAACUCUGAGACAGGUGCUGCAUGGCUGUCGUCAGCUCGUGUUGUGAAAUGUUGGGUUAAGUCCCGCAACGAGCGCAAC
rnacentral:rRNA from 2 species